rnacentral:sRNA from 1 species
AGUACCCCGCGUCCACUGUGGCUGUGAGCGCGCCGUCCGCGCCCACCUGACAGCGGCUCGCUACGUCUUGUUAGCU